AGCAGGGCGGAGGACGUAGAGGAGGAGAUGGCGCCCAUUUUCUCCCCGUUCCCUCCCCCUCCUCCCCGUGAUGUUCGAUUUAUUUUUCGGAAUCUGCUAUCCUGACGUGAAUUAACGGACUUGGCUGCAUCGGGUAGUGUCUGAGGGAGGUUGAAACGUCGAAUUAGGUCUGGACUUCACAUGACAGCAGACUCACAACAAUGUAGCUGACUUAACUACCCUCUGAGAUGGGCCAAAUGAGACUCUGUAUUCAAGGAGUGAUUUGAGAUGGCUGAAGAUGCCAACAUCCGUUGGAAAAUAAUAAGGAAAACCUUGCUGAGUACUUCCAGAAGUGAAAGCUUGGGUCAACAACAUGGAUAGAGAUUCUAAAGUUUAACUCCUACAGCUCUGCUUAAUCUGCUACACUUCCUUAACUGGCAAACUGAUACCUCGUCACGUCUUGGGUGACAUUACAAUAUUAAGACAUGAAAAACACCACUGCAGAUGCUGCCAGACCUGGUCUGUUUCCAUGCUGAAUGACACUUUGACUCUAGGAGGCCACUUGGACCCUUAAGCAUGGCUCGUGACGACUGAUCUGUGAUCUCAACUCCACUUUCUUAUCUUUCAUUCACUUAUCAUCUUUGAUGAUCAAAUAUCCUACUCACCACUUUGAAUAAAUU